rnacentral:rRNA from 1 species
AGGCUUAAUACAUGCAAGUCGAACGGGAUUCAGGGUAGCAAUACUUUGAUGAGAGUGGCGCACGGGUGCGUAACGCGUAUGCAACCUACCUUUAACAGGGGAAUAGCCCCGAGAAAUCGGGAUUAAUACUCCGUAACAUUGCGGGAUGGCAUCAUUCUGCAAUUAAAGAUUUAUCGGUUAAAGAUGGGCAUGCGUGACAUUAGCUUGUUGGUGAGGUAACGGCUCACCAAGGCAACGAUGUCUAGGGGUCCUGAGAGGGUUAUCCCCCACACUGGUACUGAGACACGGACCAGACUCCUACGGGAGGCAGCAGUAAGGAAUAUUGGUCAAUGGGCGCAAGCCUGAACCAGCCAUGCCGCGUGCAGGAAGACGGCCCUAUGGGUUGUAAACUGCUUUUGUCAGGGAAUAAACCAGUGUACGUGUAGACAGCUGAAGGUACCUGAAGAAUAAGCUUUAACGGGCUCCGUGCCAGCAGCCGCGGUAAUA